rnacentral:rRNA from 1 species
GGGGAUCUAUACAUGCAGUCGACGCUUCUUUUUCCACCGGAGCUUGCUCCACCGGAAAAAGAGGAGUGGCGAACGGGUGAGUAACACGUGGGUAACCUGCCCAUCAGAAGGGGAUAACACUUGGAAACAGGUGCUAAUACCGUAUAACAAUCAAAACCGCAUGGUUUUGAUUUGAAAGGCGCUUUCGGGUGUCGCUGAUGGAUGGACCCGCGGUGCAUUAGCUAGUUGGUGAGGUAACGGCUCACCAAGGCCACGAUGCAUAGCCGACCUGAGAGGGUGAUCGGCCACAUUGGGACUGAGACACGGCCCAAACUCCUACGGGAGGCAGCAGUAGGGAAUCUUCGGCAAUGGACGAAAGUCUGACCGAGCAACGCCGCGUGAGUGAAGAAGGUUUUCGGAUCGUAAAACUCUGUUGUUAGAGAAGAACAAGGAUGAGAGUAACUGUUCAUCCCUUGACGGUAUCUAACCAGAAAGCCACGGCUAACUACGUGCCAGCAGCCGCGGUAAUACGUAGGUGGCAAGCGUUGUCCGGAUUUAUUGGGCGUAAAGCGAGCGCAGGCGGUUUCUUAAGUCUGAUGUGAAAGCCCCCGGCUCAACCGGGGAGGGUCAUUGGAAACUGGGAGACUUGAGUGCAGAAGAGGAGAGUGGAAUUCCAUGUGUAGCGGUGAAAUGCGUAGAUAUAUGGAGGAACACCAGUGGCGAAGGCGGCUCUCUGGUCUGUAACUGACGCUGAGGCUCGAAAGCGUGGGGAGCAAACAGGAUUAGAUACCCUGGUAGUCCACGCCGUAAACGAUGAGUGCUAAGUGUUGGAGGGUUUCCGCCCUUCAGUGCUGCAGCUAACGCAUUAAGCACUCCGCCUGGGGAGUACGACCGCAAGGUUGAAUAGAAAAAAAAAAUAAUUAAAGCUUC